rnacentral:lncRNA from 1 species
AGAAAUAUAUAUAAUAUAGAGUGCUGCAUAUAUAAUACGAGAAAACAGUUACGAGUAAUUAUUAUAUGAAGUACAUUAUAAUACAGUCAUCCAAAAGAGAGGCGGAAUUAAAACCUUGCUUGCAAUAAGGUUAACUUAAAAUAUAAGCAAGCUAGAUACAAAAAGAACUAAGUUAUAUACAUGUAUGAUCCUAUCUGGCCUAUACUACUUUGUAGUAUCUGGAACAUCGACUUCAUCCAAAACCUGCUCCAGUGGCACCUCUCCUACCUCUGCUCACAUCUAAUUUGGAUGUUCAUUGCAAAAGAAAAACAAACACAUACAGAACAAACAACCAAGCAACAAGGGUAAGUUAGAUUUUUAAAGAGUGUACAAGUUAUAUAAGACUGGCUAGAAUAAAAUGAACAUGCAAGCAAACAAAUCAUAGAAGAAUAGUUUUAUUAGGUUAUGUUAGAAUUAGACUCGUCCGGACCUAGAAUGAAUAUCGAGCUAUGACAGGUUAUGCACUUGUGGUGGCCUCUACUGCUUUGCAAAGCCAAUUGCUAUGGGUUCCACCCUAUCACCACAAGGUCAGUCCGUUAUCACUCAUCUUGGCCCAUUUAAAAUGGAGACAACCAAGACUAGGACCUCCUACUACUCUCACCACAUGACAUAUUCUUCUUUAAGUGAGAUGGAAUAGCCAUUAGAGUGUUAAGGAAAACCCCCAAGACUGAGCUACCUAUAUUAAUUCCAGAAACUUAAUUUUAAUCUCACCAAGAGAUGUAAAUUAAUUCAUUAAGUCAUAUUACACCACAUGGAACACAAUCAUUCUUUAGUUAUGUCAUAAAAACAACUUAUACAUACUCAAACAUUACAUAUUUUUAGAAAAACAUCACUUAUUAAAGCAAAUAUGUUUAUAAUCUUUAAUUACAAUUACUUAAUUAAUUCAAAUAGGAAGGGUCAAAAACCACCAGAACGACCUAAAGAACGUCCAAAAAUGAUACCCGGAAUCCCUAAAACCACUCAAAACUGUCCCGGAUCAUUUCCUGACAACAAUAAUCGAUUAUUACAUAUGAUAAUCAAUUUUUUACGUAUGAUAAUCGAUUAUUACAUGUGAUAAUCGAUUAUUUACGAGAACUUUGAAGAAAAUAUGAUAUUCUGACUAGAAUAAUCGAUUGUCAAGUGGGAUAAUCGAUUAUUCUUAUCAGUAUUUGACAGCAACCUUAUUUUUUUCUGGUUUUCGAUGUAUCUAAGACACUUUAAUGAGUUUCUAACACUCCCAACUUGAUCUAUGUGACUAAUUAGACUUGCCUAACUGGUUCUAAGCAUUCUUAAUCCCAUAAUUUAGUGUUUAUGCAAUUAAUUUCCCUUCUAUGACUUCCAUUUGAUGAACUUAGGGUGCUAAAUCUGAAUUUAUCAAUUAGAAGUUGUUUUGAACCAUUUUAUCACUUCCUACAAAUCACAUAUGACUUACCUAAGUUGUCUAAACUGACUAAGACCAUCUGUAAUACCUAACUCUCCAUAUGACUAUAUUAGUUCCUCUAAUAUGACCUUAACUCAAAUAAUGUACCUAAUUACUAUCUAGUAGCUUGUUCAACAGAAAUUACUACACCUAAUUACUCAAUAUCAUCAUCAAACCCUACCCAUACUGGUUCAUAAGUAAAAUUCCACAAUCCCAUUAUUUAUCAGGCAAUUAUCAAUCAAAAUAACAUACCCAAAUUCCAAAGUUCAGUACAAUUAACAUCCACACACACAUUUCAUACAUGCAGUAUAUCAUCAAUUCAAACAACAAUUUAUUGAAUACACUUUCAAAUUUACCAAAUAGAAAUCAAGACCUAGCUUCCCUUACCUAGGAUUUUCAUAGAAAAGAUCAAGGUUUGCCUCUAGACUUCCCAACACUUUCAGAAUUUUGCCCCAACCCUAAAGAUCACAAAAGAGUGAUCAAAAUAGUUUUCAAAACUAAAAUCGAGAGAGAAUUGAAAGGGAUAAUGCUAAUAAUAUGUGCAGUCAGCAGAUUGCAUGUUCUAGGGUCCAAGGUAACUGAGGAAAAAUGAAAGAAUACUUACUCCCUCAAAAGCAGCAGAAUGAUCGGUGCAAACUAGAACCCUUGGCUUCAAAAUGGUUCAGGCAACUACAGGAUGAUGAUUAAAUGGUUCAGUAUGGAGAAUUUGGAAAAAGAAAUGUGAAGAAGAAGAAGUUAGAGCUGCUGGAAGAGGACUACCAGUGUUCAGAAAGUGAGACAGCUUUGGAAUUUUCAAUAUAAAAAUCA